AUUGGGUUCCGGCAUUGGAAUGAGAACAAUAUAAAUCUUUUAACGAGGAUCUAGUGGAGGGCAAGUCUGGUGCCAGCAGCCGCGGUAAUUCCAGCUCCGCAAGUGUAUAUCUAUGUUGCUGCGGUUAAAAAGCUCGUAGUUGGAUCUGCGUGUUUAGCGUCCGGUUCGACUUUUGGUCGUUACUGGAACGCGACACAGAUGUGCUGGUUUGCCGUUGAUGCUCUUAACCGGGUGUCAGUGGCGGCUAGCGAGUUUACUUUGAAAAAAUUAGAGUGCUCAAAACAGGCGUUUCGCCUGAAUAUUUCUGCAUGGAAUAAUAGAAUAGGACUUCGAUUCUAUUCUGUUGGUUUUCGGAAUGCGAAGUAAUGAUUAAGAGGGACAGACGGGGGCAUUCGUACUGCGACGUUAGAGGUGAAAUUCUUGGAUCGUCGCAAGACGUACUACUGCGAAGGCAUUUGCCAAGAAUGUUUUCAUUAAUCAAGAACGAAAGAUAUGGGUUCGAAGGCGAUCAGAUACCGCCCUAGUCAUAACCGUAAACGAUUCAAACUGGGCGCCCGACGGUGUUUUUAUUGACCCGUCGGGAACCCUCCCGGAAACGAAAGUGUUCGUGUUCCGGGGGAAAUAUGUCUGCAAAGAGGAAACUUAAAGGAAUUGACGGAAGGGCACCACCAGGGGUGGAGCCUGCGGCUUAAUUUGACCCAACACGGGGAAACUCACCCGGCCCGGACACCGUAAGGAUUGACAGAUUGAGAGCUCUUUCUUGAUUCGGUGGGUGGUGGUGCAUGGCCGUUCUUAGUUGGUGGAGUGAUUUGUCUGGUUUAUUCCGAUAACGAACGAGACUCUGGCCUGCUAACUAGUGUUCACAUCUUUACGUGUGCUUCGCUUCUUAGAGGGACAGGCGGCUUCCAGCCGCAUGAAGAAGAGCAAUAACAGGUCUGUGAUGCCCUUAGAUGUCCGGGGCUGCACGCGCGCUACACUGAAAGAAUCAGCGUGUACGUUACCUGGCUCGAAAGAGUCGGGUAAUCCGGUGAAAAUCUUUCGUGAUUGGGAUCGGGACUUGCAAUUAUUUCCCUUGAACGAGGAAUCCCUAGUAAGUGCGGGUCAUCAGCUCGCGCUGAUUACGUCCCUGCCCUUUGUACACACCGCCCGUCGCUGCCCGGAACUGAGCCGUUUCGAGAAAAAUGGGGACUGUCUACUUGAGGUCUUCACGGACUUUUUGUAAAUGGAAACCGCUUUAAUCGCAGCGGCUUGAACCGGGCAAAAGUCGUAACAAGGUUUCCGUAGGUGAACCUGCGGAAG
rnacentral:rRNA from 1 species